UACGUAGGGGGCUAGCGUUGUCCGGAUUUAUUGGGCGUAAAGAGCGUGUAGGCGGCCAUACAGGUCCGUUGUGAAAACUGGAGGCUUAACCUCCAGACGUCGAUGGAAACCGUAUGGCUAGAGUCCGGAAGAGGAGAGUGGAAUUCCUGGUGUAGCGGUGAAAUGCGCAGAUAUCAGGAAGAACACCCGUGGCGAAGGCGGCUCUCUGGGACGGUACUGACGCUGAGACGCGAAAGCGUGGGGAGCGAACAGG
rnacentral:rRNA from 1 species